UCAGAUUUAUUGAUUCAUUUUAAAAGCUUGUUACCAUAGAAACGAGGAACUUUACAGACUAACUGCUAUGUAAACACGCUGAUCCCUCAAAGCUUGGAGAUGAACACUCCUAUGAUUAAACAUUGGAAAACAGAAAUGAAUGUUAGACAUUAUUCAAAUAAAGCUCAAAUAGUCAUACAGUUAAAGCUUUAUUCAUGGCGAUUUAAGUCUGUCUGUGUCUUUCAAUAAUGUGGGUUAGGGUUUCAAGGACAUAGUUUCUGCAGAACACCAGUAGUAGUUCAUUACAAAUUCACCUUGUUGUGGGCGGGACUGCUGUCAUGGAGUAAGCCCACACUGACUUUCCAUCAGCCCUCUUCUGCUACCUUACAGCCCCCACACCCCCAAGCUAACAUUAGCAGUGCAGCAAAAACGGUGAGCAUUAACAGAGCUAUCCAGCCAUACAGUUUUGAGGCCAGAUGCCAACUCAGGCGAGGAAAACAAAGACGUACAUGAAUCUAUUUGUCUGCAAGUGGAUGCAUCAGAAUGAAGCAGAGCAGGGAGCUUGGCCCGCCGAUUGUAGCUUCUAUGAACAUGUCUACAGUCAAUAAUCUGUAUUCUUCACAAAACUAUGAUCGCUUUCAUCCCAUCUCUUCAGUCACACAAUGCCAGCCUUGCCUAGGUCUUAAUGCUCAGACUCUGCCUUACAAAGAAAAACUAUUUUUAGGUCCCCACAAAAAAUAAAAACAAGAUUUUCCUGUUUUCCAAUUCUAGCACAAUCCUGCCAGUUGGGGGACCCCACAAGGUAGUAUAAAUGGACAAGUGUGUGUGUGUCCGUACGCUACUGCAGAUGCCAUUCUAUUGGUCAGAGCGCCAUAGCAACAUUAUCCACCUAUGACAGAAGCAGCCAGUGGUUUUGAAGAGGUGAUGUGAAGCAGAAAGCAGCAAGGGGGGGGGGGGGCAGCAUGUGGGAAUGUGGUGGUGAGGGGGACUUGGUUUGUUUUGGCCGGAGGGCUUCAGACUUGUAAUGAGAUUCCUUGACAACCUGUUGUGCUGAUUCAGUCUGGUUCAGUGAGCAUGUCUUUCACGUCCUCGUCUCCUCUUCUCUCUGGGAUUUGUCACAGGGUUUCCCUCACGGUGAGAAGAUCUGGAGGUUUGCAGCAGGAAUGGUUGAAGAGGAAACGUCUGCAACAUCAAAGGUCGGCACAAACCCACACAAGAGAAAAAACGCAGUCCUAGAGUUUUUUUUGCAAAUUUUCAUUUACAGGAAAUGAACACAAAGGGAACAUAAAAAAGCAUUUGUUUUGAAAACUGAAGUCACAUAGAGAGAUGGCUGCAGGAGGAACAAGGUCGUGUUUAAUAUGUAUAUGAAAAAUGGCUUUGGAGCAAAUUCUGCUUUGUUUACAAAAUUGCUGCCCUUUCACACAAAGGGCAACACAUUGACUUCCAGAUUGAAACUCAUUUAAAAACAAUUGUAAUUGGGUGCAGUUCACCAACUAACCACUACAGGAUUACACAAGCAAACCAGACCUUAGUUCAGGGCUGUCCAAGCUUUUUGCAAAGAGGGCCAGAUUUGGUGAGGUGAAAACAAUGCCAAUAAGGCCAAUCAUUCAGCCUGUAUUCUUUCGACUGUUACCAUCAGGAGAUGAAAAUCUGAAGCUCUUAUUUUGUAGCUAUGACACAGCAAAAGGUUUGUACUUGAGAGGAAAAACAAAUCUUCACAUUCUUGGAAAGAAUUUGACUUUAAAAUAACCUGUUUUCAUUUUUAUUUUGUAUUUUGAAAACACACCAAAAUGUGACAUCACGGCUUAGGUUUUGUCUGAGGGAUGUUAGGAUGGUCUCUGCAGCCUCCUCCUUUUGUGUGUCUGUAUAAACAUGAAAGCAUUAGAAGAUGAUGGACAUGGCGAUUGAUGCCAGUUAAGAUUUCUACAGCUCCAGUAGAUUUGUGCACAAAUCUUUUUUUCCAGGUAUACUAUUCCCCAUUAGAUAGGUUUUUUUGAUCCAUCACCUGAAAGCCGGUGGUUGUUAAAUAAAAAAAAAAAAAAAACUUUCAAAUCAGUGGUGUCAUAGGAAGCUCCAGUUCUCCCACAUGAGUUCAAAUAGCUGAUUAACAUCUAGAUGAUGGCAAAGUUCUCUGUAAUUUAAAAACCCAGCACCUAUUUGAUCCACUCGGAGAUUUCUUUAGUAUCUUAAGAUAUUUUUGUCCGGAUUAAGUGCCCCCACCCUCCCGAAUCCACUUUACUGAAACAGACAGGAUGCACAGCUAUAAGUGCAUUUAUCUUAAUUAUUUUUUAAUGGUAUGGAGCCAUGGUGCGAUCGGAGUCUCAGAGGAGCCCACAGGAAGAUGCAUUAAUGCCCCCCUGCAUCCAAGCAGCUGCCCACCCAUAUGAAACGGAGAGGGGAUUAGACAAAAACGUUCACCUAUAGUUUGGAAAGAGAGAGUUUUCUUUUUGGACUUCAUUGUUGGACCCCCAAGAUUAAAGACUAUAAAAUUCUCCCAGUGGCAGAGCUACAACAUUUUAAAUGGGAGAUUGGCAGAAGACUUUGGAAGGGUGGCAAAUGAGAACAGUAGAGUGGAAGGCCAUUACAAAUGACAGGAUUAAAAAGAAAAAUACCGGUAAGUAAAAUAUGCUAUUUGAGAGGGUUGAGAUUUUCUUUGAAAGUAUUUCUUUUAUUUUUGCAAUGCUUAAAGACACUUGUACAGAUAAUAAGAACAAUACUGACUCAAAUUUUGCCCCUUUGCUUCCCUGCUGCUCCGCCCCUAGGUUCUCCAAAGAAUUGUAGUAUAUAGGUAAAUUAUGACUUUACUAUGCCCAAAUGAUUUGUUUCUUCUUUUUUUUUUUGUUUGAAAAUGUCAGUAACUUCUCUCGUAAAGAUUCUGCUGACAUGGUGUUUGUUCAACAGAUGAUGUUCUGCAACGACAAAAGCUGAUUUGGGUUUGGCCUAUAAAGAAAACAAUACAAACUAAAAAUCACGAGUCCUUCAGGAGUCAUGAAACAGUUUUUGGCCGUCUGCAGUUUUAUUUACUCUCACUCUCCCCUUUUAUGGUCAGUCAUGCUAACCAGCUUGACUUCCUGCUUUCAGACUGGCAGGGGGAAAUGAAAUGAGAUCAGUGAGUGAGCAGUUUCCUGUCUGAGUGAUGCAUGUACAGGUGACAGCUACGUCUGAAACUA